rnacentral:lncRNA from 1 species
CAGAGUUCUAAGCUGUUGGGAAGGAGUUUCCAGGGAGAGUCUGGACCUGAAGGUGAAACUUGGAGGGUGUAUGUGCCUAGACUCUGCCUAGACAGGAUCAUCUUGAAAGCUGACUGCCUCUGAAAGAAACAUCAAGACUGAGAGAAGAUUUCCCAUACAUUUCUGGUGGACAGAGUGUUUAUGAAGGAGUCUUCUCUCUCUCCUCUGGGACACCUGAGGAUCCAAUAGCUGGAUGCCUCUUACUUAAUAUGCCAAGGACUCUACUUGUGAUAUUCUGGUCCCUGUUGAAUUUAUUCUUUAGUUUAGAAAUAACCAACAUAGCUUCAUUGCUCACUGCACUGUCACCACGACAUCCCCCUCCUAACCCUGAUCCUUCUUUCCAUGAAGAUUCACAUUCCAAAGUAGAUCACAGAUCCAUUUGAUUAUUUGAGGACUGUGGAAGAACAAGUUGAUGCAUCACAAAAAGAGAGAGAGUGGGAACAGAUUGCACCGAUAUCCAGAAACUACUAAUCAGUAUCCAAGGAAAUAGAUGUGCUAUGAAGGAUGUAUGGAAAAACACACACAAAAAAAGGCACAGAGG